GCGGGGCGCGGCGCAGGGGAGCUGUGGGCAAGGGAGGUGGGCGGCGGCGGCGGCGCUGUGGGCAGGGGAGGGAGGCGCUGCGGGUAGGAGAUGGGGCGGCUCUGUGGAGAGAGGAGGGAGGCGAAAUGGGCCGGCCCAAUAUUGUUAGGGUAAAGUCCUUUGCCGACUGCUUCCAGGUAAAGGCAAUCGGCAAAGGCAUUGGAAAAUAUUUUAUUAUAAUCUCUUGGCCGACUGUCCUACAUUAAGGCAGUCGGCAAAGAAUUUUUGUAUUUUUUUUCUCUUUUUUUAAACAGCCACAACUUGCUCUUAAUUUUUUGAAAUUUUUAACAUAGGUUCCACAUGUGAUAACAUUAAACUUCAAAAGGUUUUAUGAUUUUUUGACUUUUUUUGCUAUAUUUCAUUAAUUAAUUUCUUUAAAUUGAUUUUUCCGCUAUAUAAUCCUACUUUGAACUAUAUGUGCAUGAAAUAGUAAAACUUAGCCAUUCAAAAAAUGAUAUUCAUGUUGAAUAAUGUAUUUUUAGAAUAUAUCCAAAAACUAACGCAAAAUUUUAAAGUCCUUAUCCAUGGAACAUGGUCAUCCAAGUGUGG
rnacentral:lncRNA from 1 species